rfam:Glycine soja cultivar W05 scaffold2649_10, whole genome shotgun sequence.
UGGCAAUGAUGAUUAAAAGGCCGGACUUAUGGCUGCCAUUUACUUCCUUGGUAGUAGAUUGAUGAGCUUUUUCGUGAAAUGUGUGUUCUGAGCCAG